GGGGAAGGGCGCAUUGAGGGUGGUAGGAAGGUGUAUGGUAAGGGUGGUGGUGGGGAGUGAUUGGUUGCAGUAGGUGUAGUGGUUGAAAGGCUUGUGGUGGUGGUGGUGAGGGUUGUGGGAAGGGUGGUGGUGGUGUGGUUGAGGUUGUGUAGUGGGUGGUAGUGUGGUAGAGGUUGUGUUGUGGGUGGUAGUGUGGUAGAGGUUGUGUUGUGGGUGGUAGUGUGGUAGAAGUUGUGUUGUGGGUGGUAGUGUGGUAGAGGUUGUGUUGUGGGUGGUAGUGUGGUAGAGGUUGUGUUGUGGGUGGUAGUGUGGUAGAGGUUGUGUUGUGGGUGGUAGUGUGGUAGAGGUUGUGUUGUGGGUGGUAGUGUGGUAGAGGUUGUGUUGUGGGUGGUAGUGUGGUAGAGGUUGUGUUGUGAGUGGUAGUGUGGUAGAGGUUGUGUUGUGGGUGGUAGUGUGGUAGAGGUUGUGUUGUGGGUGGUAGUGUGGUAGAGGUUGUGUUGUGGGUAGUAGUGAGUAGGAUGGCACUCUGGAAUUCAACGGCGCCAGAUUGUCGUAUUCUGCCUCUUGUGGUUGCCGAUUUCCGACUCAAAAACUGCUUUCAUCACCCAAAUAACCGCCUUCAUAUAUGGUUAUCGUUUAAAUGGGGAAUUAUUGGUGUUUCUUGAGAGAGAGAGAGAGAGAGAGAGAGAGAGAGAGAACCGGUAGAUACGCAGCCCUGAGUACGAUAAUCUGGCAACGGUGCUCUGGAUGGAAGGCUUGUGUUGUGUUGCGGGUGGUGGUGAGAGUUGAGGUGGCGUGAGGUCAGUGAAGGUAUUGAGAAGGUAAAGGAGGUGGUUUUCACGUGGAGAUGUUGACUGUGCAUACAAAUCAAAUAUACAUCAAGUGUGAAGAUGGGUGCUGCUCGUGGUUGGUGGUAUUUAGAUGAUAGGGUGGUAGAGGUGUGGGCGAUAGGGUGGUAGAGGUGUGGGCGAGAGUUCCCUGAGUGGUUACCUUAGUCUCGAGUAGCUUGUAGCCUCGGUCUCCCCUGGACCAGUCCCACACAGACAUGUUGUGGUCCGGGGCCUCGUC